UACGUAGGGUGCAAGCGUUAAUCGGAAUUACUGGGCGUAAAGCGUGCGCAGGCGGUGAUGUAAGACAGAUGUGAAAUCCCCGGGCUCAACCUGGGAAUUGCAUUUGUGACUGCAUCGCUGGAGUGCGGCAGAGGGGGAUGGAAUUCCGCGUGUAGCAGUGAAAUGCGUAGAUAUGCGGAGGAACACCGAUGGCGAAGGCAAUCCCCUGGGCCUGCACUGACGCUCAGGCACGAAAGCGUGGGGAGCAAACAGG
rnacentral:rRNA from 1 species